GUGCCAGCAGCCGCGGUAAUUCCAGCUCCAAUAGCGUAUAUUAAAGUUGUUGUGGUUAAAAAGCUCGUAGUUGAACCUUGGGCCUGGCUGGCCGGUCCGCCUCACCGCGUGCACUGGUCCGGCCGGGCCUUUCCCUCUGUGGAACCCCAUACCCUUCACUGGGCGUGGCGGGGAAACAGGACAUUUACUUUGAAAAAAUUAGAGUGCUCCAGGCAGGCCUAUGCUCGAAUACAUUAGCAUGGAAUAAUAAAAUAGGACGCGCGGUUCUAUUUUGUUGGUUUAUAGGACCGCCGUAAUGAUUAAUAGGGACAGUCGGGGGCAUCAGUAUUCAACUGUCAGAGGUGAAAUUCUUGGAUCAGUUGAAGACUAACUACUGCGAAAGCAUUUGCCAAGGAUGUUUUCAUUAAUCAGGAACGAAAGUUAGGGGAUCGAAGACGAUCAGAUACCGUCGUAGUCUUAACCAUAAACUAUGCCGACUAGGGAUCGGACGGUGUUAUUCAUGACCCGUUCGGCACCUUACGAGAAAUCAAAGUGCUUGGGCUCCAGGGGGAGUAUGGUCGCAAGGCUGAAACUUAAAGAAAUUGACGGAAGGGCACCACCAGGGGUGGAGCCUGCGGCUUAAUUUGACUCAACACGGGGAAACUCACCAGGUCCAGACACAAUAAGGAUUGACAGAUUGAGAGCUCUUUCUUGAUUUUGUGGGUGGUGGUGCAUGGCCGUUCUUAGUUGGUGGGGUGACUUGUCUGCUUAAUUGCGAUAACGAACGAGACCUUAACCUGCUAAAUAGCCCGCAUUGCUCCGGGCAGUGCGGCUGGCUUCUUAGAGGGGA
rnacentral:rRNA from 1 species